rnacentral:rRNA from 1 species
AGAGUCUGAUGGAGCACGCCGCGUGAGUGAAGAAGGGUUUCGGCUCGUAAAACUCUGUUGUUAAAGAAGAACAUAUCUGAGAGUAACUGUUCAGGUAUUGACGGUAUUUAACCAGAAAGCCACGGCUAACUACGUGCCAGCAGCCGCGGUAAUACGUAGGUGGCAAGCGUUGUCCGGAUUUAUUGGGCGUAAAGCGAGCGCAGGCGGUUUUUUAAGUCUGAUGUGAAAGCCUUCGGCUCAACCGAAGAAGUGCAUCGGAAACUGGGAAACUUGAGUGCAGAAGAGGACAGUGGAACUCCAUGUGUAGCGGUGAAAUGCGUAGAUAUAUGGAAGAACACCAGUGGCGAAGGCGGCUGUCUGGUCUGUAACUGACGCUGAGGCUCGAAAGUAUGGGUAGCAAACAGGAUUAGAUACCCCAGUAGUCAA